CACUGACGUUCAACCUGGCUCCUGAGGCCUUUGGUUCAGUCUUGCAAAUACUUCUCUGCUAAAACCUGGUGGAACUGCAAACUUUCCAAAAGCGGCCUUCCGGUCACCUGACCGUGCAGUCAUCCUAGUGGGCGGGGCCGGACUACAGACCCAGACCCUCUGGGGUGAGAGUCCCCAGGGCCUGGGAUGGCCGGAUCCCCACCCCUUCUUCCAGUUCCUCCCACCCAGCCCGCAUUUCUCUUUUAGCUUUGCUGUUGCCCAGAGAACCAGAUGCGCUACUGGCAUGUGGACAUUUCCUAUCCGCAUCCGAACAUUAACGGCUAAGCAGGAGGGAUUUUAUUUAUUAUUAUUAUUAUUUAUUAUUAUUCAGGAGGAUUUAAUUUAUUCAGGAGAGAUUCCUGGAGGCAGAGCUGGGUCCCAGGCCGCUGUCUUCCUCUCCCACCUCGGCAUCUCCAUCACUCUUUCCCUCUAGGUCACAGAGAGAAUUAGGUCAAUUUUUUUCUUUUUCUUUUCUUUUCUUUUUUUUUUUUUUUUUUGCUUUUUAGGCCCACAUCUGCAGCAUAUGGAGGUUCCCAGGCUAGGAGUUGAAUCGGAGCUGUAGCUGCCAGCCUACACCACAGCCACAGCCACGCCAGAUCUGAGCAGGGUCUUCGACCUACACCACAGCUCACGGCAACGCCAAACCUUAACCCACUGAGCAAGGCCAGGGAUCGAACCCGCAACCUCAUGGUUCCUAGUCGGAUUCGUUAACCACUGCGCCGCAAGGGGAACUCCCUAAGGUCAAUUUUUAACACGAUGCUCCAGCUUGGGCUUCCUAGGGCUCCCCAAGUAGGAGGCAGUUUUUAGCUAAAAUAAGCGCAUUGUGUGCCCAAGUUCCCUCAUUGGAGUUUUCUAGGGCCUUUCGAAUGAACUAACUACCUUACCUGCUGUUUGGACGGGUUAAGCCUCCGGAGGGGCUGAAAACAAAAGAAGGGUGUUGAAAUGCAAAUAGACCGCUCCGGGCUCCAGCCCUCGGCUGCCUAGGACAGCCAAAGCGGACUGACUUCAGCGGGUCCACAGAGGGCUGUGGAAAAGCUCUAGAAAAAUCUUACAAGAUGUAUUUCUUUUCAGGUGUGGGAGUCCCAAGGUAGGCUACACACACAAAAACAAAAUAAAAACAAACAAAGGAUUUCUUACUUGGAAUGUGCUCUGUGCCAGCUGAAUAGCUAAUUGUUUCUUGUUUUCAUUCGCAGCCCCCCACCCCACCCCCACCCCGAUUUUUCUGCCUGAAUAGAUAAUCCUUACAAAACAUCUAUUCAUUCUACCAGGGAAAAUUUCAGGAAUACUCGGUACUGACCUUGGCAAGACUAAUGGACCGAGAUGGACUGGUGGAUUUGUGCAUGUUGUGGUUGACGUGUGUUUUGGCGCUUUGUACGCCAGUUUAAGAAUAUCGUGGCAGCAGGAAAGAAAGAUUUAUGGCAUUUUAAUUAACGAAUAUGAUGACGGCUUGAACUUGUAUCAGACAUGACAUUAUUUUUAUAGGUUGUUUUUGAUUGAUUUUGUUGCUUCAGGAAAGGACCUGCUGAUAAUGAAUGGUAGCUUCCUUUGCUAUUUCAGUGUUCCCACUCAUUGAUAGGUAAACAAUUACUUUUUGUUUGUUUGUUUGUUUAGGGCUGAAGCCUCAGCAUGUGGAGGGUUCCCAGGCUAGGGGUGGAAUAGGAGCUGUACCCUCUGGCCUACACCACAGUGCCAACAACGUCAGAUCAGAGCCUCAUCUGCGACCUACACCACAGCUCAUGGCAACGCCAGAUCCUUAACCCAAUGAGCAAGGCCAGGGAUGGAACCUGCAUCCUCAUGGAUGCUAGUCAGAUUUGUUUCCAAUGUGCUACAACAGGAACUCCAACAAUUACUUUUUUAAGGGAAAUAAAAUAAGGCAGCAAUACAGCCUAGUGAAGUUGCUGUCGUGGUGCAGCAGAAACGAAUCUUGCUAGGAACCAUGAGGUUGCUGGUUCGAUCCCUGGCCUUGCUCAGUGGCUUAAGGAUCCAGCAUUUCUGUGAGCCGUGGUGUAGGUCGCAGAUUUGGCUUGGAUCCUGCAUUGCUGUGGCUGUGGUGUAGGCUGGCAGCAACAGCUCCGAUUUGACAUGCCGCAGGUUCAGCCCUAAAAAAGAGAGAAAGACCAAAAAACAAAAACAAAACAAAACAAAAAAACAAGUAAAUAAUAUUAGGAGUUCCUGUGUGGUUCAGCGGUAAUGAACCUGCUAGUAUCCAUGAGGAAUUGUGUUCCACCCCUGGCCUUGUUCAGUGGGUUAAGGAUUCAGCAUUGCUGUGAGCUGUGGUGUAGGUCGAAGAAGUGCCUUGGAUCCUGUGUGGCUGUGACUGUGGCGUAGGCCUACAGCUCCAGCUCCAAUUUGACCCCCAGCCUGGGAACCUCCACAUGCUGCAGAUGUGGCCCUAAAAAAAACCAAAAGCAAAUGUUAAAGGGUGGAAUCCCUUAGUUUCAGACAUUCUAAAGAUUGAAGCCUGGAACCAAGCACACCAGCUUUUAGUUCUGACUACUGGCUACCUUUUUUUUUUUUGUCUUUUUGCCUUUUCUUUGGCCGCUCCCGAGGCAUAUGGAGGUUCCCGGGCUAGGGGUCGAAUUGGAGCUGUAGCCACCAGCCUACGCCAGAGCCACAGCAACGCAGGAUCCGAGCCAUGUCUGCGACCUACACCACAGCUCAUGACAAGGCCUGAUCGUUAACCCACUGAGCAAGGGCAGGGAUCGAACCCACAACCUCAUGGUUCCUAGUUGGAUUCGUUAACCACUGCGCCACGACGGGACUCCUUUUUUUUUUUUUUUUAAUUAAAAAAUACUUUAUGGGGAGUUCUCUGUGGCCCCAUGGGCUAAGGUUCCAAUGUUGUCACUGCUGUGGCUCUGAUUAUAGCUGUGGCACGGGUUCGAUCCCUGGCCCAGGAAUUUCUGUAUGCCUGUGGUCCAAAAAAAAAAAAACCCAAACUAAAAACAACAACAAAGAAGACUUGAUUGAUAAAGAAAGGCUAAUCAUCCUCUGACAGCAGAGCUGCCACAAACCUUUCAUUUGUAAAAAACACAUUGUCUGCAAAGCAAAAAACAAUGAAAGGAGGUAUGUCCAUACUUUAUACCCUGUUCUUUCGCUACUCUAAUUACUUUUUAAGGAAAUAUGGUCCAGUGGCUUAUCUCUAGAUUUGUUUACCCUGGUGCUGUGUUGGAUCAAAAGAAGGGUCCCUUAGGGAGUUCCUGUCGUGGCUCAGUGGUUAACAAACACGACUAGCAUCCAUCAGGAUUGCAGGUUCAACCCCUGGCCUCGCUGAGUGGGUUAAGGAUCUGGCAUUGUCGUGAGCUGUGCUGUAGGCGGAAGAUGCUACUCGGAUCCCGAGUUGCAAGGCUGUGGUGUAGGCCGGCAGCUGGAGCUCUGAUUCCACCUCUAGCCUGGGAACCUCCCUAUGCUGCGGGUGUGGCCCUAAGAAGACAAAAAACAAGCAAACACAACCUGUCCCUUAGGGCAUGAGGAAUUUAGAGGCAUCAGUUAUUCAACGCUGGAGACAGAAGAGCUUCUGAAUAUGUCCAUUUUCUAGACAGGAAACGUCCAUAGAUCAGAAUAGAGAAGUUAAGGUAAAUGCCCCAAACUGUGGUGCUUGAUGACUUUUCGAGGAGAACACUUUGGGGACUCUUUGGUCCCCAGGCCUCCAAGAAGCCUCGUCUUGGGGGACGAGGGGGGGUACCUUCCGGGGGUUAGUGGAAGCGGGUGCUGUUAGGAACUGGGAAUGCCAGGCUGCAGGCUCAUGGGUCGCCUAUUGACUCUGUCCGUGAGUCACCCUGACCAGUGACCCACUGUUGUGUGUUUCCUUCUUUACAGAAGAGCUGAGACUAUUGACAUUUUCAUCGGUUGCAAAACACAUCAGGAAAGGGGAGGGAGGCACUAGGCAAACGUGUAAAUGUGAAACAUGGCAGGCAGCACACUUGAAUCCAGACAAAUGCAUUCUUUGGAUACCUGGCCGUUUAUGUAAGACCGGGGAGUUUGAUUUCAAAAUAGAGGUUUAAGUUGGAAAUUUUUUAUUUGAACAGUGGAAACGUGGGUCCUUGUUUGCUCUCUUCAUCAAUGUUGUUUACUGCAAGGAGACUGUUCCCAAGUCCUCUUACUAGAGUGGUGGAUCGAUUACCAGAGAUCAGACUCCCCAGGCCUUUUAGAAAUGUGUACGGAAAUUUAGGCACCUGCCUUUCCAAGGGGAGACUAACUUCGGUUGAGUCCUGGGAAUUGCCUUUGGGUUUGUAUAAGUGUCAUAAACAAACCAAGACACCAAGUGAAUUCUCUAGGGACCUUACAAAAGUGUGUGUGUUAAGGGAAUCGACUGAGGCACCUAUUUUAUUUUAUUUUUUAGGGACAUACCCCCGGCAUAUAGAGGUUCCCAGGCUAGGGGUCCAAUUGGCGCUGUAGCCACCAGCCUGUGCCACAGCCACUGCAACUCCAGAUUCAAGCCGCAUCUGCGACUUACACCACAGCUCAUGGCAAGGCCGGAUCCAUAACCCCCUGAGCGAGGCCAGGGAUUGAACCCUCAUCCUCAUGGAUACUAGUCAGAUUCAUUUCCCCUGAGCUUCAGCUUCAGCUUUUUAUGAAGAAGUGAUGGUGUGUUAUCAGCUCUGGGGGACCUUUCUCCAGCAUCACCAGCUGCAGAGAUAACAUUGUAUAGAGCGAAUGAAGUAUAUUUUCAUGUGAGUGUUGUCCCUUUAUCUUCAGGAUUAAUCUUUGAGUUUUGGGUUAGAUUUAUCUUG
rnacentral:lncRNA from 1 species